rfam:Streptomyces fradiae strain ATCC 19609 contig0026, whole genome shotgun sequence.
CCGGCGGGCACGAGCCCGUACGGACACUGACACCGGUACCUGAUACGGCCGGUGCAG